rnacentral:rRNA from 1 species
CAGUCGCCACGGGAAUACAGAGGGUGCGAGCGUUAAUCGGAUUUACUGGGCGUAAAGCGUGCGUAGGCGGCUUUUUAAGUCGGAUGUGAAAUCCCUGAGCUUAACUUAGGAAUUGCAUUCGAUACUGGGAAGCUAGAGUAUGGGAGAGGAUGGUAGAAUUCCAGGUGUAGCGGUGAAAUGCGUAGAGAUCUGGAGGAAUACCGAUGGCGAAGGCAGCCAUCUGGCCUAAUACUGACGCUGAGGUACGAAAGCAUGGGGAGCAAACAGGAUUAGAUACCCCCGUAGUCCCUGUCUCUUAUAU